rnacentral:rRNA from 1 species
GUGGGUACUACAGUGCGGCUUGCCUGCCAUCUCUUACCCAUGUCUUUUGAGUACCUUCGUUUCCUCGGCGGGUUCGCCCGCCGGUUGGACAACACUUAAACCCUUUGUAAUUGAAAUCAGCGUCUGAAAAACUUUAAUAGUUACAACUUUCAACAACGGAUCUCUUGGUUCUGGCAUCGAUGAAGAACGCAGCGAAAUGCGAUAAGUAGUGUGAAUUGCAGAAUUCAGUGAAUCAUCGAAUCUUUGAACGCACAUUGCGCCCCUUGGUAUUCCAUGGGGCAUGCCUGUUCGAGCGUCAUUUGUACCUUCAAGCUCUGCUUGGUGUUGGGUGUUUGUCUCGCCUUUUGCGCGCAGACUCGCCUCAAAACGAUUGGCAGCCGGCGUAUUGAUUUCGGAGCGCAGUACAUCUCGCGCUUUGCACUCACAACGACGACGUCCAAAAAGUACAUUUUUACACUCUUGACCUCGGAUCAGGUAGGGAUACCCGCUGAACUUAAGCAUAUCAAUAAGCGGAGGAA